rfam:Triticum aestivum genome assembly, contig: Triticum_aestivum_CS42_TGACv1_scaffold_290043_4AL
GAAAGCCGUAUUCAAUGAAAGUCGUAUGUACGGCUUGGAGGGAGAUCUUUCCUAAGUUGCUUUCUACUCAAAU